rnacentral:rRNA from 1 species
CACGCCCUAAACCGAAUGCGCGUUAGGUGUAUCGGUGACCACGAGUCACCGAGGUGCCGAAGGGAAGCCGUGAAACGAGCCACCUGGGAAGUACGGCCGCAAGGCUGAAACUUAAAGGAAUUGGCGGGGGAGCACCGCAACGGGAGGAGCGUGCGGUUCAAUUGGAUUCAACGCCGGACAACUCACCAGGAGCGACGGUUACAUGAAGGCCAGGCUGAUGACUCUACUUGACUAGCUGAGAGGUGGUGCAUGGCGUAGUCGUGU